GGUCUGACGAGUACGGGGGCUGCGGCGUGCGGGGCUGCCGAGCUUCCCCGAGGGCGAUCUGGGGCCGCCGUGGCCACUCAGCAGUCUGUCGGUUGGGUGACAUUUUAACGAAAGAGCCUGUGUCACCGAAAAGGGGCUGCUAAGAAUCAACUGAUUCACGCUUUUGGAGGGAGUUGCCAGAAGCCCUGACACUCACGAGCCACAUGGCGGGAACUGCGAGAACCAUAGCAGACGCGAGCUCGAAGCUGCUCGAGUGUCAGUUCCUGUGUGUACAAGCGCUUGCCAGCUCCCUCUGCAGACCUGUCUUUCUGUCAUUCUUACCUCGCCCUUUGCUAAACCAGCCCUCUGCGGCCGCCAGCCCUCUGAGGCCGUCAUCCGACUGUGGCCGGGCCUCCAUUCCUCUCUUACCUCGGUGCUGUCAUUUACCCUUUUCUGAAGCAAGAGGAACAAAACACUCCCUGGAAGUCUCAGGAGGAUCUCAUUUCCACCACAUUCCCCUAUCGUGGUUGUGUGGAGUCCAGAGGCGUUAAGAGGGUGUCAGAAAAGCUGCUUCCUGAAGUCUGCAGACUGGCUGUCCGUGCUCUACCAAGGGAAGAAAAAUGGAAGACUUGGAUCUGGUCUACGGUUCUCCUGAGUGGUGGUAUUGCCCAAGCACAUGCCAUGGAAAACUGACUGGGAAGGCCUGGGAAAGGAAAAAGAAAAGCUUGCUGUCUUUGCACCUGCUCUUAAAGGAGAAGUAGUCUUCAGGAAGAGAAAGUGGAGGAUGGAGGGGCUGAAGAGCACACCCGGCCAGUGGAAAGGGCACUGAUGAUCAUACGUGAACAAAACCAUGACUUACAAGAUGGGGGAAUAACUUCACCAAAGAAGGGUGAAGGGUGAGGCCAGGUAAGUAACAUUUGUCAAGAUCCUGCCACACCUGUGUCAGUGGUUCUCCAAUCUUUGGGUACAUCAGGUUCACCUGGAGACUUGUUAAAAACAAGAUCCCAGGGUUUCCUAGAGAGGGAAUCCGUGAGUGAUUCUAAUGCACACCUGAUUCGGUAUCACCACCCUA